UGCAUAAUUUAAGUAUAGGAGGUCCAGCCUGCCCAGUGACUACAAGUUCAACGGCCGCGGUAUUUUAACCGUGCAAAGGUAGCGCAAUCACUCGUCCUUUAAAUAGGGACCUGUAUGAAUGGUUAGACGAGGGCUUAACUGUCUCCCUUUUCCAGUCAGUGAAAUUGAUCUAUCCGUGCAGAAGCGGGUAUAACCAUACAAGACGAGAAGACCCUUUGGAGCUUUAGGUACAAGUCUCACCCAUGUUAAGUAAGUUAUAACAAACCCAAAACCCAAUGAAAAAUGAGACACUACCUUCGGUUGGGGCGACCACGGAGGAAAAAAUAGCCUCCGAGUAGACUGGAAAAUUUCCAAAACCAAGAACAACAAUUCUAAGAAACAGAACAUCUGACUAAAUAUGACCCGGCCACUUAAGCCG
rnacentral:rRNA from 1 species